CUCCUGUCGUCCUGCAGGUGAAGACAGAGACAGGGAGGGGUCCUCCACACCAGUGGAAACAACAGAUUCAGCGUCUCCCAUGUUUCCCCAUACAGGACCCUCCUCUGGGUCCCAGACCAGGCCCCACCUCCCUGCUACUGCCUCCUCCUCUUCCACUUUUGUUCUGGCCAAGUUCCCCAUCCUGAGGGCAGAGAGGGGCUGAGGGUAGCCUUCCUGCAGGGACAGGUCCCUGAACAGCCAGAACUGGGAGCCUGUAGCAAGACACGAGCUGGAGAGUGUCUCUGCAAAAGGAAAUUCCUUAUGCCUGGAUACCACUAAUGAAGAUGAUGGCAUGGUCUGACUGUCGCUCCAGCACAGCAUGAAGAUGUGACAGGUCAGGCGGUAGACCCCUCCACAUCCUCCUGAUUGAAGCCCCGUGACCAGACACCAAACCAGCGCUAUUGACCCUCCACAUUGUCAGACCUGGAGGACAGAAUGAAGGAGAAGCAAAGGAAUGGUUCAGAGACGAAGAUGUGAGUGAGCAUGCUAACCAGAGGCGGAGAGCUUUCAUCUUGACAAAUCAUAAAUAUCUUUUUUCCUCUUUUUUGCCUAAUAAGUCAGUUUUAUGCCUAUUCAGACCUUUGAAAAAGAAAGUCUCUCCUCGGAUCCUUGCCACAGCAUCAAAACUGGUGUUACAGCGAUCUAUGAAGGAGCUGGAGGAAGAGAACACACAGGGAGAUUUAUAUAGAGAGCUUCAUGCUUUCAUUUGGUCAAAUAAAAUCAAACUUUAACACCCAAAGACACAGCCCCCCAGUGGCUGUCAAUCAAGCACCAACAACA